CUCUCUGUCUGUCUCUGGUGAGCACAUGCUCUCUAUAGCAAAAAUCUCUUUCUCAAAAAAAAAUGAAAUUUAAAAAAUAAAUUCAUGGAAAAUAUGCGUUAUGAAACUAUGUGUAGAGUUCAACUUUAUUUUUUAGCAUCAAAAUAAACUGGUACUUUAACUCCAUUUUUUCAUAGACUUUUUGAAGUUCUCUUAUAUAUGGGAAUUGUAUUUUAUUGAAAACAUUGAAACAUUUUUACAUUUGAUUUUUUAAAUAUCAUUCCAGAGUUCUAAAAACGCAGUUUAAAAAGCAUUAAAAAUAGGACCAUAAUAUAGAAAAGUAGUUAAAAAGCAGCGGUCAUGUAACAUACUUCAGCCUCUUACUUAGGAGUAAAAAUGAGAGCUAAAAGUAGGCCUAGAUUUUCUAGAGGAAAUAAAGGGACUUAAGGAAAAGCAAUGUACUAAGUCAACGUUGGGUCCACCUAACACUCACGUGUUCUAACACCUCAGCUCAUUCUUUGGCACUGAGUAGUGGUUGAAUGCAUGUCAGUUAAUGAUUGAUUAUGACAGCUUCACAGUGGAACAUACUGUAAUCUCCAGAUGACAGAAAAGAGUGCAGAACUGUCAGCCCAAGUUCUUCGUAUAGUGACAGGAGUCAAUAACAAUUGAAGUUGAAAUUUCCUUAGAGAUUGCUAUUCAGACAUAAUGUCAUUUUAUCUUUGACCAAGGUUCAAAACCUUGGUAAUGUGAUUAUACGCCAGCCAACCACUCUAGACGUCCCAUCUCCGGCAAGUAGGACACUGCUGAAUGUGCCUGGGGUCUUUCCACUAGUAGACAUUUCUCUAGUGACAUAGUUGCCUUCAUGGCAGGGAUACUUUUGAGACUUGGGUCUUCGAUGCUCCAUGAAGCUGACAGGCUACACUAUGAGAACCUAAGAUUCAAAUCCAGUUUUCUCUGCCUUUGUCUUUGGAGAAUAGCUUUAAAUGGCUUAGACACUGAUAAAAUUCAGUUAUGUUGUUAAUGUCCAUCUCUUGUUUUAUGCUUAACCACAUUUAAAUCUAGAAUUUAAUAGAGUCUAGUGAAAGAAUUAUUGGGAACCACAUCUAAAUCUAGAAUUUAAUAGAGUCUAGUGAAAGAAUUAUUGGGAAGCAUGAAUAUUGAAAGAAUAAUAUAAAGGAAAAGGGAAAGUAAACUAUUUAGAAUAUAGUUUUGUAUUUGUAACAUUUCAAAAUUUAUUAGUUGCAUAUUGGUGUCAUUGUGUAGUUUAUAAAUGUCUAUGCACUGUAUUAAUUAGAAUAUCAUAAAACGUGGUAACAGCUUGACUAAUGUUAUUGGAGUUUUUACCACAGUUGCCAUUGUGGAAGAAAUAUUUGUUACAUUAAUAAAAAACAUGUUCGUAAAA